rnacentral:lncRNA from 1 species
ACAGGUGCGCAGCCGCGGGGCGCAGUGGGGCUGCGCGCGGGCGCUCGCGGCCGGCUGGAGGUGCCCGGCGAUCGGCCCCGCUCGAGCGGGGGACACUCACCGAGCGGCUGGAGAGUCUUUUCCGGGAGCUCCGGCUGAACAUGGCCGGACGCCUCCUGCUCGCAGCGCCGUCCGUCGGCAAUACAGUUACUAAAGGAACUUGAAGAGAUCCUCAUACAUAAUUGUCAACACGGGAAGACGCCUUUGCUAUAAUGUCAGGUGGAAAAACAAAACCCGAAUAGACUGUCUGCCUGUAAUUGCUCCUAAAAUAUGCAUCAAGAAACUGGAAAGAAAUACACAACACGUUAAAAUUCCACUGUUUGCAGAAUACAUUCAAAAGUAUUAUAUUGGGACUCCAAGACUCACAGUGAGGUCAGAAAAGGAAACAAACACUCGCUGAAGUUGUGUGACUUCCCCGACACGUAUGCUGAGUGCUCCACCGGAUUGUCUGAAUGUGACCUGCAGACAAGAAAAGAGAAGGUAAAGAGUCAGUGAGGACUGGUAGACGUAUUUUCCCCAAAUUUCA